ensembl:snRNA U6 U6 spliceosomal RNA
GUGCUCACUUCGGCAGCACAUAUACUAAAAUUGGAAUGAUACAGAGAAGAUUAGCAUGGCCCCUGUACAAAUUCAUGAAGUGUUCCAUAUUUAA